rnacentral:rRNA from 1 species
AGAGUUUGAUCAUGGCUCAGGACGAACGCUGGCGGCGUGCCUAAUGCAUGCAAGUCGCACGCAGAGUGCUUGCACUCUGAGUGGCGCACGGCUGAGGAACACGUGGGCAUCUGCCCGACUGUGGGGGAUAACUCGGCGAAAGCCGCGCUAAUCCCGCAUACGCUCGCAAGAGGAAAGCAGCAAUGCGCGGUCGGAGGAGCCUGCGGCCCAUCAGGUAGUUGGCGGGGUAACGGCCCACCAAGCCGGUGACGGGUAGCUGGUCUGUGAGGACAACCAGCCAGACUGGGACUGAGACACGGCCCAGACUCCUACGGGAGGCAGCAGCAAGGAAUUUUCGGCAAUGGGGGCAACCCUGACCGAGCAACGCCGCGUGGAGGAUGACGGCCUUCGGGUUGUAAACUCCUUUUGCGGGGGACGACAUCGACUGUACCCCGCGAAUAAGGCUCGGCUAACUCUGUGCCAGCAGCCGCGGUAAUUC